UACGAAGGGGGCUAGUGUUGUUCGGAAUCACUGGGCGUAAAGGGCGCGUAGGCGGCUUUGUAAGUCGGGGGUGAAAGCCUGUGGCUCAACCACAGAAUUGCCUUCGAUACUGCAUGGCUUGAGACCGGAAGAGGUUAGUGGAACUGCGAGUGUAGAGGUGAAAUUCGUAGAUAUUCGCAAGAACACCAGUGGCGAAGGCGGCUGACUGGUCCGGUUCUGACGCUGAGGCGCGAAAGCGUGGGGAGCAAACAGG
rnacentral:rRNA from 1 species